UAGCUCAACUGGUAGAGCAUGGCUUCUUCGCUGCCAGGGCUAGGGGUUUGAUUCCCAUUGGCGUCAGCCA